GAAACCCGGUGAUCUAGCCAUGGGCAGGUUGAAGGUUGGGUAACACUAACUGGAGGACCGAACCGACUAAUGUUGAAAAAUUAGCGGAUGACUUGUGGCUGGGGGUGAAAGGCCAAUCAAACCGGGAGAUAGCUGGUUCUCCCCGAAAGCUAUUUAGGUAGCGCCUCGUGAAUUCAUCUCCGGGGGUAGAGCACUGUUUCGGCAAGGGGGUCAUCCCGACUUACCAACCCGAUGCAAACUGCGAAUACCGGAGAAUGUUAUCACGGGAGACACACGGCGGGUGCUAACGUCCGUCGUGAAGAGGGAAACAACCCAGACCGCCAGCUAAGGUCCCAAAGUCAUGGUUAAGUGGGAAACGAUGUGGGAAGGCCCAGACAGCCAGGAUGUUGGCUUAGAAGCAGCCAUCAUUUAAAGAAAGCGUAAUAGCUCACUGGUCGAGUCGGCCUGCGCGGAAGAUGUAACGGGGCUAAACCAUGCACCGAAGCUGCGGCAGCGACACUAUGUGUUGUUGGGUAGGGGAGCGUUCUGUAAGCCUGUGAAGGUGGCCUGUGAGGGUUGCUGGAGGUAUCAGAAGUGCGAAUGCUGACAUAAGUAACGAUAAAGCGGGUGAAAAGCCCGCUCGCCGGAAGACCAAGGGUUCCUGUCCAACGUUAAUCGGGGCAGGGUGAGUCGACCCCUAAGGCGAGGCCGAAAGGCGUAGUCGAUGGGAAACAGGUUAAUAUUCCUGUACUUGGUGUUACUGCGAAGGGGGGACGGAGAAGGCUAUGUUGGCCGGGCGACGGUUGUCCCGGUUUAAGCGUGUAGGCUGGUUUUCCAGGCAAAUCCGGAAAACCAAGGCUGAGGCGUGAUGACGAGGCACUACGGUGCUGAAGCGACAAAUGCCCUGCUUCCAGGAAAAGCCUCUAAGCAUCAGGUAACAUCAAAUCGUACCCCAAACCGACACAGGUGGUCAGGUAGAGAAUACCAAGGCGCUUGAGAGAACUCGGGUGAAGGAACUAGGCAAAAUGGUGCCGUAACUUCGGGAGAAGGCACGCUGAUAUGUAGGUGAAGCGACUUGCUCGUGGAGCUGAAAUCAGUCGAAGAUACCAGCUGGCUGCAACUGUUUAUUAAAAACACAGCACUGUGCAAACACGAAAGUGGA
rnacentral:rRNA from 1 species